GACGAACGCUGGCGGCGUGCCUAAUACAUGCAAGUUGAGCGAUGAAGCUUGGUGCUUGCCCCAAUUUGAAGAGCAGCGAACGGGUGAGUAACGCGUGGGGAAUCUGCCUUUGAGCGGGGGACAACAUUUGGAAACGAAUGCUAAUACCGCAUAACAACUUUAAACAUAAGUUUUAAGUUUGAAAGAUGCAAUUGCAUCACUCAAAGAUGAUCCCGCGUUGUAUUAGCUAGUUGGUGAGGUAAAGGCUCACCAAGGCGAUGAUACAUAGCCGACCUGAGAGGGUGAUCGGCCACAGUGGGACUGAGACACGGCCCAAACUCCUACGGGAGGCAGCAGUAGGGAAUCUUCGGCAAUGGACGAAAGUCUGACCGAGCAACGCCGCGUGAGUGAAGAAGGUUUUCGGAUCGUAAAACUCUGUUGGUAGAGAAGAACGUUGGUGAGAGUGGAAAGCGCAUCAAGUGACGGUAACUACCCAGAAAGGGACGGCUAACUACGU
rnacentral:rRNA from 1 species